AGAGUUUGAUCAUGGCUCAGAAUCAACGCUGGCGGCGUGCCUAACACAUGCAAGUCGAGCGAGAAAAGGGGGGCAACUCCCUGAGUACAGCGGCGCACGGGUGAGUAACACGUGGGUAAUCUGCCCUGAAGUGGGGAAUAACACCGGGAAACCGGUGCUAAUACCGCAUACGAUCACGAGGUCUGCGGAUUUUGUGAUGAAAGGAGCAAUUCGCUUUAGGAGGUGCCCGCGGCUGAUUAGCUAGUUGGUGAGGUAAUGGCUCACCAAGGCAACGAUCAGUAUCCGGUCUGAGAGGACGGUCGGACACACUGGAACUGAGACACGGUCCAGACUCCUACGGGAGGCAGCAGUGGGGAAUUUUUGGCAAUGGGGGCAACCCUGACCAAGCAACGCCGCGUGGGUGAUGAAGUCUCUUGGGACGUAAAACCCUUUCGACGGGGAAGAAAACCGCAAGGUUUGACGGUACCCGUAGAAGAAGCCCCGGCUAACUCCGUGCCAGCAGCCGCGGUAAUACGGGGGGGGCAAGCGUUGUUCGGAAUUACUGGGCGUAAAGGGCGCGUAGGCGGUUCGCUAAGUUGGAUGUGAAAACUCUGGGCUCAACCCAGAGCCUGCAUCCAAAACUGGCGGGCUAGAGUUCUGGAGGGGGUAGCGGAAUUCCUGGUGUAGCGGUGAAAUGCGUAGAUAUCAGGAGGAACACCGGUGGCGAAGGCGGCUACCUGGACAGAAACUGACGCUGAGGCGCGAAAGCUAGGGGAGCAAACAGGAUUAGAUACCCUAGUAGUCC
rnacentral:rRNA from 1 species